rnacentral:rRNA from 1 species
UACGAAGGGGGCUAGCGUUGCUCGGAAUUACUGGGCGUAAAGCGCACGUAGGCGGAUUCUUAAGUCGGUGGUGAAAUCCUGGAGCUCAACUCCAGAACUGCCUUCGAUACUGAGAGUCUUGAGUUCGGGAGAGGUGAGUGGAACUGCGAGUGUAGAGGUGAAAUUCGUAGAUAUUCGCAAGAACACCAGUGGCGAAGGCGGCUCACUGGCCCGAUACUGACGCUGAGGUGCGAAAGCGUGGGGAGCAAACAGG